CAAGAAAGGGAGGAGAAAAUGAGGUCGUCAUGGAAGCAAAAAAGCACACAUCUACUUAGGAAAGAAAUCUGUAAAGCAAUCUGGUGGCAGUGCUGUAUUUUUCCCAUCUCUUCAUAUGGACCUCUAUCAGAUUUUAGCAUCUCUGCGUUGGUAGGAAGAAUGGUAAUACCAACCAGCAAGUAGCUGUGUUCCCCAGGCUCUGUGCUGGGUCUGGGAUUUUUCAGCAUCUUCACAGUGAUCUGAACGAAGGGAUUGAGUGCACCCUCAGCAUGUUUGCUCAUGUUACAAAGCUGGCAGCGGUGGCUGAUGCACCAGAAGGCUGUGCUGCACUUCUCUACAGGCAGCUGCAUGGAGCGGGCUGUAGUUAAUUUGUUUUUAAUAACAGCAGAUACUUUAAUUUCAUGAAAACAUUCUGUUUUCAGACCCUAAGAAGUUGCUUCUGCCUAAUGGGGUCCCUAAUGGUUGCAUCUAAGAAGUUUGUAUGAAUAUUUUAUAGGUUAUGAAGAUCGACCUUCUUACACAUUUGGAGGAAAUAAACAGGGGAGACCACAUGAGAAAACACUUGCAAUUUGAUACAGGAAAAUCUGGGCAAAGUAAUUCUGAUAUAACUGUGGGACUGUGUGUCUCAACAAGCUUAGGCAUCAAAUAUAUUUGGCUUAAGAAUUAAAACAACAAACUCUGGCAGCAUAGAAUUAAGCUGCCUGCAUUGGCAGCUGAACCUUGGAUCAGGGACUCAGGGUGAAGUCCUUUGAAGUGCAUUUCUAACUGCAGUUGGAGUUGAAAUCCAUCAAGGUUAGGCUUGAAUUCUUCACAGAGGUACAAACUGGAUCCUGCUGUGCUCUGUAUCUGAGAGCAGCAUUACAACAGCAGGUGUGGAUGGGACCACCUCUCCAGAACCGUGUGGACGUGGCCUGGAAUUGCCUUCCAUCUCUGUUGCUGCGUGCAGCAGGCUCAGGACAAUGUUUUCACAUUUACUUUCUAUUGCUGGCAUAGGGCAUUAGGAUUUCUUAAUCUGACUUUUUUGUCUCAUUGAUUACCUGUGAUACUCAGGGUUGCAUGCCUUGCACUGGUCCUAUGGUGAUCUUAAAAACAAUGAGGACUGAGGCUGCUGUGUUUGCAGAGGAGUCUUUCCUGGUGUGUACACAAGUGCUACAUCCCCUGCACCCUGUACUGCUGCAGCUUUGCAAAUCCUUUCUGACAAGGCAUGCUUCUGGAUGUGCAUACACACAAGCACCCAGUCAGCCACGUGCAGUAACCCAAGGUGGUUACAUCACCAAGAAAACAAAUUCUUCGUUCUCAGCUAGAGCAGCAUAAUGGAAAUCAACACCCAUCAGCCUGAUGCUGAUAACUUCAGUCAGUGCUAAAAGCAGUUGAAUUUCUGAAGCUGGCUGCUGCUGGCACGUAGGCACUGUGCUUUCUGAGUGCCAUCUAUUGAGGCUGUUCUCUGCUCUGCCUGAACAAGUGCAGCUUCCUGCUCUAAACACACAGCAUGAGCAGAAAUCUGUGAGCAGCAGUGUGCAAACAGGCAGAGGGUGACCUUUCUCCAGCAUUACGUCCUGGAGUCAGCCUCUGAGGUGCCAAAUCCAGAGCUAAUUACUUCUUCUCAGGAGAUGCUGCUCUUUGCUGCCUCACAGGGAUGCCAUUUGCUCACCACCUGCGUGGCUGUUCAGGUGGAUGGAGGAGCUCUGUUUGCAUGGGUCCCUGCAUCCUCUCCUCUGCCUUUAAAGUCCUCCUCCCCAGCAGUUUUGAUUUGCAGAGAAGCUGAAGGGAUUCCUCAGCUGCUUCAGUCUCUCGGAUGGACAGAACUGCGCAGCAUGAGGGCAUUGCCUCAUUGGGAGCUUACACUGAAAACAAAAUAACAAAAUAACCCCAAAAGAGACCUGCUGUGGUGUAUGUAAGGCACAUACGGAGCUAUUCUGACCUCUGGAAUGUUGAAAGCAGCUGAGGGUGCUGCUGGGGGUGAGCACCUGCCCUAAAGCACUGGCAGGAUUUGUUGGUCCAUGCGGUGAUGCUCAGCUGAAAGGAUGCUGACUGCUGAAUAAUCAUGCUGCCAUAGGAAGGAAGCAUUUCUCAUGUAAUUGGCAAACUUAAAAUAGUUCGUUACUAUAGGCAAAAUAUGCUUCCUGUAACCUUUUAAAUUGACUUAAUGCUUACACUUAUUAAAGUUAGGCUUUCUGAGCACACCUGUGAGCUGAUGGGAACUUGUUUCUGCAAGGAGGAGAAUUAAAGCCAGCAUUUAAUUUUGCCCUUGUCUCUGGUGACCUCCUUACUUGGAACAGUGAUGUUUUCUUUUGUACUCUGUGCAGCCCAUGUGGAAAAAAUAGGCUGUCUCCUUGGGAUCAGUUUGCCUCUUUAUUGCAGAGGAGCAGCCGAGCUGAAUUCCACACACAGACACCAAACUGCAUUCCUCAGUGCACCUCAGUGCUGAUAUUAGCAAAGCUCCGGGGCCAGCAUUAAUCUAUGUGAUGUUUAUACCCUACUGUAUCGUACGAGCUUUACAAAACUGACAUGAAAACUCAUUGCUUGUCUGCAGUGAGCGCACAGCAUCCCGUGCACACACGAGGUGUGCAGUGAGCAAUGCUGUCACAGUGCUGCCAGCACAGAGCAGUCAUCCGGGGCCAUGGCAGGAGAUGCCUUUCUUUGAGCUCUGUUUGAUUUCUGCUGCUCUCAGGUGCCACUUUGGAGAUUUCAAAGGGCUGGGUUCAAAGAGCAGUCAAUGAAUGGAAUUUCAGAUAUAGAAAUAUUCCGUAAAUGUUACUCUCUUGGCUUUACUUUCAUCCCUAUUUCUGAAUAUUUGUGGUUGGGUAAAGCUGCUCUGCUGGAAGUUGUGCUCUGAGGACACAGCUCGGUGUGAAAGGGGUAAGGCAGAAGAUGGGGAACACUUAGCAAGAUAAAUUCUGGAGAGGGGGAAGAAGGCCACAGGUAAACACAUUCUGACUGUCGGAGAAGUUAGUUGGAAAAUGAUUCACUGCGCAGAAAGAUUUGCCAAUGUAGGAUUUCAAAUGCAAUAAAAUAAUGACUUCAGGUGUAUCAAAAAAAGAGGUUUCGAAGGGUCCUCCUUACAGGAAAACCCGAAGUAAGGAAUGGAUCCACUGGAGAGAAGUGUGUGAUCAGCAGGGAGCUCUGAAGGGCACUGAAGGCGCCGUGUGCUUUGGAGGCUGCAGCUGAACAGCUGAUAAAAGGUUUUUCUUCUGCACCUCUGAGUUUGAUGAGUGUGAAGGCAUUUCACUUCCUCAGGGUUUGUCCCGAGGGUAUUUGGGCCCUACAGUUAUUUAUUUGUUCUUUUAAUGGAAUAGGGAGAUACUUCACAGGAAAGUUAGCAUCAGAUUUCUUGCUUUUGACCAUCAGACAUGGCUUCCACCCAAUACAUACUUCUCAAGGCAUUGAAUAAAGGUGGCAUUUGUCCUGUGGUUUUUUUCCCUCAUCUGAUUUGCUAAAUUGCACAAUCACCAUUAAUUAACAAGAGGACAGAUAUCAAGGAGACGUUGGGAGCAGUGGUUUAGAAAGCAAAGAAGUGCAUUGCUACUAUAGUCAGAACAAAUGAUCAGACAUAACAGCGGUUUGGAAACUUAAUGAGCUUUUGCUAUGGCUGAGUUUGAGCAGCAGAAGUUUCAGCUGUGUGUGCCUGGCUGCUCCUGCCAAGGAAUUAACCUUAAAUUCCAUCUUGGAAAAACGUGAGAAGAUGACCAGGUUUCCUUGGAACAAUGACACAUCUUCUGCCAGGGAAAGCAUCAGCCUUUCCACUGACUUAAGGCUCCUGGCAAAAAGCAGUUCUUCAUCAUUCUGCCAUCUUGCUGUUCCUACAGAUGUGUGCUGUGUUUGAGAUGAACCCCACGGAGGUUUUGCUCACCCGUGGCCACGUGGCCAGCUCAGCCCCAUGCCUGGCAGCUCACUGACCUCCUUCCUCCUGCAGCACUGGUGCUGCUCAGCACAGCUGGAUGGUUCCAGCACCCAGUAAGGCUAACCAGCCUGAUCCCUCCCAGCAAACCCAAUUGUGAUGUGGCUUUUCUGAGUCUAAAGAGACCAGUUGUGUUCAUUUUAUCUCUGUAGCUAUUUUAGUUGGCUAUGAAAGGUAUUUUUCACAUGAUGAGAACGUGCACUGGCAUUGCGUUAUGCACAGGUAGUUGCAGUUUGCCCAUUGCUGCACCGCAGGUUUUGCGGCAGUAAUGGAUGCGCUGCGUUUCCUGCAUGUGGACCCAAGGAAAAGACAUGUCAGCAGAUGCACCUGCUGCUCAGGGCCAGGGAUCCACGUGCCAUGCAGGCAGGAUCACACUAGAGCUGACACUGUGCCGCUCCAGACAAACAAAUGAGACUGUAAAGCGCCUGCUGCUUUGCUCCAAGCUCAGACCUGCCAGAGUUUGAUGCGAGGAUUAUUCUUGGAGGGAGAGCAGAAGGAGCUUCCAAAGCCAUGUCGGGGAGAACAGCAGAGAGCAUUUGUUUUGUUCCUGCUAACCUCAUCCUGCACAUGCAUACAGUUGUGAAACUACCAUGCCUUUGAGUAAGACUUGUGCGUGUGCCAUAUCAUAACUGGCUUUCCCUCCCAUGUUGUUGUUUAUCUCUGCAAGAGGAAUGGCCAGUAAAUCAGUAAAUCACUCUGCAGGGGACUCCUGUAAUCACUGCCUUAGCUGCUAGCUUACUGGAGAUGAGCUGCUUUUUCUCUGAUGGUGGGGAGACCACAGUAACCAGCAGCAUUUCUAAGCCAGCCCUGCCUGUAAAUGUUAUCAGUAAAGUCUUGGCUAGCAAGUGCUGCUCUUUCCUGGCAGAGCUGUAUACCAACAAGGUAUGUAACUUCAUUUUGUCUUCCAAAUUACCAAUUUGAAACUGUUGUCAUUGGAGUGAAUGGGUUCUGUGAGAUUGUGUUUGCUUCUAGGGCUGGUUUCCUGUUCUUGGAAAUAUCUGCUGCUGUUUGGUCUGUUUUCAUUACUCACUGCUGGGCAGUUGUUGGUUGCAUUCAGUGUUACUGCAGCUCCUAUUGGUCAGUGGCAUGCAGUGAUUUAAUGUCAUGUAAUGCAGGAGGAGGAGGAAUUCCACACCUGCUCCAGGGUUUGGUAUGUCAGUUCUCGGGCAGUAUGUGCAGAGCAGAGACCCGCAAGAUAUACUGAUCUCAGUAACUUUGGAGCAGCAUUAAUGCACAUCUACUAACAGAGCAAAGCAGAAAUGACACCACGUGUGUUCAGGGAGUGUAAGUGAACCUUGAGGGAAUUGUACUUCAAGAGCAGUUAUGUUACAGGGUAUAACCAACAGGUCUCCCCAUGCAUGCAGUUCUCUCUCUCUCGGUAGGUGUGAGUCUGGCUGGUGGAAGAGGGAUGAUUGCUCAGCUUGCAGGAUCUCCAUAGCCCAGAAGGGACAUUCAGAGCACUUCUGCAUGGCUGCUGGCCCUCUCAGGAGUUGCUUCAACCUCUGAUUUAGCACCCGUAGGCCAGGAGUUUGUCUAAGGGGAUACUGAGAAGCCCUAAAAUGAAAGCAAACUCCGUGGGUGUGAAGGCAGUGAAUAGAAACCAGCAGCUUAAUCCUCAGGUAGCUCUGCUCUUUCAAAUGAAAAGUGAUCUCAGUUUGGUGUAACUCAGCCCUCCUACACACAGGGACUUCACGCCUACGGAUGAUUCACUUUCUAUUUCUGGAGAGGUCGUGUACAGACUUGGCUCGACAUGAAUCCAAAUGGGUGCGCAUUACAGUAUGUGUAAAAGGAAAGGUGAUGCAAUGCCACCUUUUCUUAACCGGACCUAUGCCUUUUCCUACCUCUUCUCACGCUGCAUAGAACUGGGUGCUGUGCACGUCAGAGAGCUGCAGGGAUGUGCUGCAAUGAGGCAGGGCCUGGAAUGCCAUCGUGGGCAGAUGGAGUGGGUGCACAGACCCUAAAUAGGCACAGGGCGCACUAAGGGAUGGAAACUUCUCUCCCCGAGUAGGAAACCUGCUUUUGAUUGACCUGCAGCUCCCUGGAACCUGACAAACGUGGAAAAUACUGCCAUGCAUUGGCUUUCCUUUAACUGCAGGUUUUGUUUUGGGGUUAUGUUUUUCAUUUGAAUACGUAGUAGCACUUCAAAUACGAAAUUUGAUAGUAAAUAGCAAUGAUACUGUCAUAUUUAAUCAUGUUUAUGGCAGCAUGCAACACACUGUUACGCACACAGAGAAGUCCAUCUAACUGAUAUAUCGCUUUCUGGAAUGCAGUUUUUGGGUGUAAUUAAACUCGCC
rnacentral:lncRNA from 1 species